rnacentral:rRNA from 1 species
AUACGGAGGGGGCUAGCGUUGUUCGGAAUUACUGGGCGUAAAGGGCGCGUAGGCGGCCUGGUAGGUCAAAGGUGAAAUCCCUCGGCUCAACCGAGGAACUGCCUUUGAAACCACCAGACUCGAGUCUGGGAGGGGGUAGUGGAAUUCCUGGUGUAGCGGUGAAAUGCGUAGAUAUCAGGAGGAACACCUGUGGCGAAGGCGGCUACCUGGACCAGUACUGACGCUGAGGCGCGAAAGCGUGGGGAGCAAACAGGAUUAGAAACCCCAGUAGUCC